UACGUAGGGUGCAAGCGUUGUUCGGAAUUACUGGGCGUAAAGCGCGUGUAGGCUGCUUCGCAAGUCGGAUGUGAAAGCCCUGGGCUCAACCCAGGAAGUGCAUUCGAAACUGCAGAGCUGGAGUCCUGGAGAGGAAGGCGGAAUUCUCGGUGUAGAGGUGAAAUUCGUAGAUAUCGAGAGGAACACCGGUGGCGAAGGCGGCCUUCUGGACAGUGACUGACGCUGAGACGCGAAAGCGUGGGGAGCAAACAGG
rnacentral:rRNA from 1 species